UAAUGCCUGGUUGUUCGAUGAAGAUUGUCAAGGAAAGCCCUACGUCGGCGAUCGUGAGAUUCGAGGCGGGGAGUGUUGAGCCGGCGCACCACCACACUUUCGGUCACGACUUGGUGGUGUUGAAGGGGAAGAAGAGUGUUUGGAAUCUGAGUAAGAAGGAGAGGUACGAUCUUAGCUCUGGUGAUUACUUGUUUACACCUGCAGGUGAUGUGCAUAGAGUGAAGUAUUACGAGGAGACAGAAUUCUUCAUCACCUGGGAGGGCGGCUGGGACAUUUUCCUCGACGAGGAUCUUGAGGCUGCCAAGAAGGCUUUGGAGGAGGAGUUACGUGU
rnacentral:lncRNA from 1 species